UUAAAUAUACAAUAGCCUGCGCCAAAUCGAAAAUUCGAUAUUUAUAAUGAUUUGUUAUCGAUAUUUAGCAGCUCUCAUUCGCUCAUCUCGAAACUUUGACGAUAGUUCAAAACUAUCGGAAAUUCAUCGUCAAAUGUCGUUACUGCAAGAACCUCGACAAGCGUGCCGCCACCGCUUUAUCGGCAUUUAAAUUGUUUAUAUUCAAUAAAACACGCAAUAAAGUUCGGUUUCAUGGCCGGAAAUGAAAUCCUGAUAAAUGGAAUUUCCAUAUGUGGGGUGUCUUAUGAUCCGAUUUGUCGUUCACAUUCCUUUUAUCAAUUUGAGAUCAACCAGGGGUGAGUAAGACCUCGAUAAACGGAAAAUUCGGUUAACAAAAUAAUUUAUAUUUAAAAUCGGACUAACGAAUUUCGGUUACUUUUCGAACGCACAACCUGCAAACAUGCCUAUGGUGAACAGUUGUUAUGGUCCACCCUAACGGCCAGAGGAAGAGAUACACUAAACAAAGAUGUAAGACGGCACUUAUCCGAACGACGUGGACAUUCUCCUCCCCUUCAUCAACAAAAUUAACCGCUCAUAAUUCUUUAUAAAUCCACAAAUCAAAAGGAACAGACGACGAAAGUACGCCCAAAGGUUAUUGCCGCAAAAAAAGAAGUAUGGAGAAAAAUAAAAGGCAGAUGCAAUAACGUUUGAGUCGUUCACUCGCUGUUCGCACUUUAUGAAGUUUUAUUAAGUGAAACUAUGCGCAAGGAGCUCGAAUAUGAGGCUCCGUCUGACUCUGCCUGUUGUUCGGGGUGAGGAUGGGCGUUAUGGAACGAACUCACUCGGAAGUGGGCGUGGUCUCGCCAAUGGCCGCUUCUUAGCCUAUCGUUCGGGUUAGCGCUGGUGAAAAGUGCGUCGAGGGUAUGGCUGACGUGCGCCGCUGAGCCGGAACCUGGCCUGGGUGGUAACCUGCUGGCCUCUCUGGUUCGAGAGCUUCUUGGACGGCCUGAACUCUUUAGCGUGGAUCCUUUCGUUGCCGGAACCUUUCCACUGGUGCAUUUGAGCAGAGCCCGACUGUCUUGUACCACCUCUCAAAAUUGACUCUUUUGUUGCAGCAACGAAACUCAUAUCUUCGACAUGGGUAAGUUAUCGACCGUGUAAGCCAAAGGCAUCACAAAGGCCAUAUUUUCAUUCAUUACCCUGCGAGCGAAUCUGGCGGGCACC